UCGGGUUGUAAAGCACUUUUGUCCGGAAAGAAAACUUCUGCCCUAAUACGGCGGGAGGAUGACGGUACCGGAAGAAUAAGCACCGGCAACUACGUGCCAGCAGCCGCGGUAAUACGUAGGGUGCGAGCGUUAAUCGGAAUUACUGGGCGUAAAGCGUGCGCAGGCGGUUCGUUAAGACAGAUGUGAAAUCCCCGGGCUUAACCUGGGAACUGCAUUUGUGACUGGCGAGCUAGAGUAUGGCAGAGGGGGGUAGAAUUCCACGUGUAGCAGUGAAAUGCGUAGAGAUGUGGAGGAAUACCGAUGGCGAAGGCAGCCCCCUGGGCCAAUACUGACGCUCAUGCACGAAAGCGUGGGGAGCAAACAGGAUUAGAUACCCUGGUAGUCCACGCCCUAAACGAUGUCAACUAGUUGUUGGGUCUUCAUUGACUUAGUAACGUAGCUAACGCGUGAAGUUGACCGCCUGGGGAGUACGGUCGCAAGAUUAAAACUCAAAGGAAUUGACGGGGACCCGCACAAGCGGUGGAUGAUGUGGAUUAAUUCGAUGCAACGCGAAAAACCUUACCUACCCUUGACAUGGUCGGAACCCUGCUG
rnacentral:rRNA from 1 species